rnacentral:snRNA from 1 species
AUACCUUUUUCGGCGCUUUGCUAAGAUCAAGUUUAAUAUUUGAUACGUGAAUCAAUGACUCUUAUGAUAUUAAUUUAUUUUUUCAGGGAACAAUAGCUUGCUAUUCGAGUUCUCAAGUGUCGCCCUUGCCUCGCACUAUAGUAUUGGCCGGCACACCCCUC